AGUGACGGUUAACGGGGGAUUAGGGUUCAAUUCCGGAGAGGGAGCCUGAGAAACGGCUACCACAUCUAAGGAAGGCAGCAGGCGCGCAAAUUACCCAAUUCUAACAGCAUAAGAGAGGUAGUGACAAGAAAUAACAGUACAAGGCAGUUAAAAUGCUUUGUAAUUGGAAUGAUAGAAAUUUAAAUACUUUUUAAAGUAUCAAUUGGAGGGCAAGUCUGGUGCCAGCAGCCGCGGUAAUUCCAGCUCCAAUAGCGUAUAUUAAAAUUGUUGCAGUUAAAAAGCUCGUAGUUGAAUUUUUGCUAAAAAUAACCGGUCUGCUUUUAUUAAUAAAAGUGGUAUCUUGGUGUGUUUUUAGCAAUAAUGUCCUUUGAAAUGUUUUUUACUUUAUUGUAAAAAGCAAUUUUCAGGAUUUUUACUUUGAGAAAAUUAGAGUGUUUCAAGCAGGCUAACGUUUUGAAUACUGCAGCAUGGAAUAAUAAAAUAGGAUUUUAGUUCUACGUUAUUGGUUUUAAGAACUAAAUUAAUGAUUGAUAGGAGCAGUUGGGGGCAUUUGUAUUUAACUGUCAGAG
rnacentral:rRNA from 1 species